rnacentral:rRNA from 1 species
UAAUACGUAGGGACCGAGCGUUGUCCGGAAUUACUGGGCGUAAAGGGCUCGUAGGUGGCCAACUAAGUCAGACGUGAAAUCCCCAGGCUCAACUUGGGAACUGCGUCUGAUACUGGAUGGCUUGAAUUCGGGAGAGGGAUGCAGAAUUCCAGGUGUAGCGGUGAAAUGCGUAGAUAUCUGGAGGAAUACCGGUGGCGAAGGCGGCAUCCUGGACCGAGAUUGACACUGAGGAGCGAAAGCCAGGGGAGCAAACG